GGAAGUUUCCACAUGGAUUUCAGUUCUUGUGGCAGCCAAGCGUUCAUAGCGACGUUGCUUUUUGAUCCUUCGAUGUCGGCUCUUCCUAUCA
rnacentral:rRNA from 1 species